CACUCCUACGGGAGGCAGCAGUGGGGAAUUUUGGACAAUGGGCGCAAGCCUGAUCCAGCCAUGCCGCCUGCGGGAAGAAGGCCUUCGGGUUGUAAACCGCUUUUGUCAGGGAAGAAAAGGUUCUGGCUAAUACCUGGGACUCAUGACGGUACCUGAAGAAUAAGCACCGGCUAACUACGUGCCAGCAGCCGCGGUAAUACGUAGGGUGCAAGCGUUAAUCGGAAUUACUGGGCGUAAAGCGUGCGCAGGCGGUUAUGCAAGACAGAGGUGAAAUCCCCGGGCUCAACCUGGGAACUGCCUUUGUGACUGCAUGGCUAGAGUACGGUAGAGGGGGAUGGAAUUCCGCGUGUAGCAGUGAAAUGCGUAGAUAUGCGGAGGAACACCGAUGGCGAAGGCAAUCCCCUGGACCUGUACUGACGCUCAUGCACGAAAGCGUGGGGAGCAAACAGGAUUAGAAACCCCGGUAGUCCCAUG
rnacentral:rRNA from 1 species